AUGCUCACUUCAGCAGCACAUAUACUAAGACUGAAAGAAUACAGAGAAAAUUAGCAUGGCCCCAUGCACAAGGGUAACAUGCAAAUUUGUGAGGUGCUCCAAAUUUUA